GACUGAGUUGUGUUGGGUCUAGAGAAGACAGGCAAAAGGAGCCUCUCUUGGGGCUGCUGGUUAGGCUCGUCUACCACUGCACUUCGGGCUCGGCUGGAGUCACCAUGGGAUUUCUGCAGAGGAGACGAAAGUCACAGAAACAGCUGUGUCCUGGGAGCUGCACCUGUUCCAUAGUAACCCUGGCCCAACAUCAGCUGCUGUGGUACCCACUCCUAAGCAGCUCCAACUUCGCUGCCAUGGCCUAGAACCCGGUUUGUUUUUGUCAGAGGAGAGUGUGGUUCAAGGUGGCAGCAGAUUGUUCCGACCCAAGGUCAUUGGAGAGGGAGAAGACAGUGUGUCUGCUGUCACUGGACUGAAGAUCCCAGCAGCAAAACCGAUAUGCAAAAGUAAAGUUGUAACAACACAAAGUGAUGAGAAACUUAGUAAAGUCAGUGUGCUCAGGAGGCUUGAAGCCACCCAGAUUUUCAGAAUAGGGGCAGCAAAGAGGGAUUUUUCCCUUUCUCUCUUAAAUUUCACAAAUAUAACUCUUCAGCUGUAUCAACAGAAUAAUCUCAUCCAGUUUUGUAUUUCACCAAAACUUAAGUAAAACUCUGAGUUGGACUAAACCUGCAGACAGCACACUGUAUGACUGCGUGGUCUUAGUUUUGGGCACAGCCUCAGUCUAGUCUUCUACUGAAGCCUGUUCUAUGACGAUUCUCACAAUUACUGACACUAGCUUUACCAGGUUCCCAGAGUCUGCAUUUGAAACCUACACCCGGGGUCCUCUGAGGAUUUCUUCUACAGGCCAUGGUGUUCCAGCGCGUGAGUGGCUUGUGCUGAUCGGAUGAAGGGUACGUGGUGGGGGAUUGCGCCUCCUGGCAGACUGCGUUGUAUAUGACAAAGAUGAUGUACUAAGCUCCAUGGCACGGUUUGGCCAAUUUCGGUUUGAAAGGACGGAACUGGACCCAGGCCUCGGUCUGAGCAGCUCCAGAGGACGUCAGCAGCUGCUUGCCUAUUUCCCCAAACACGCCGCUGGACUGGUUCUGCAUCUGAGAGCCAAGCACUCUCUCAGCAUCUGUCUGUUCACACUCCCAGCUCCGCUCAGGCGUUGGAGUUUUGAUAGGGACCACACUAGACCUACAGAUCUACUUGGAAGUACUGUCACCUCAACAGUGUGACGUCUUCCAACCCAUGGACACGGGCGAUCUUUCCCACGCUGCUUUAGGUUUUGGUCUUCUGUAAUUUCAUAUGUUCACAGGUUUAUUACCAUCAUGGUGGGAAACAUGGCAGUGCGCAGGCAAGCAUAGUGCUGAAGAAGGAGCUGAGAGUUCUCCAUCUGGAUUGGCAGACAACAGGAAGAGGCCUGGCUUUAAGCAUUUGAAACUCCAAAGACCACCCCCAAUGAUACAUUUCCUCUAACAAUGCCACAUGUACUCCAACAAGGCCACAAGUCCUAAUCCUUUCAACUAAUGCCACUUCCUCUGAGCCUCUGGGGGCCAUUUUCAUCCAAACCACCAUAUAUUCUGUCUGGCUUCUCUCAGCAGAAGCAUUUUUUUGGGAACAUAUACAACAUAUAAUGACAGAAACAGGGGCUUAUAAAGGACAUGAACUUUUGGGAGUGAUGGAUGGUCACUGUACUGACUGUGGUGAGGGCUUCACAGGUAUAUACUACAUAGAACAGAACUUCCCAAACUUUCCACUUCAUGUACGUGAGGUGUCACGUGUGUUAACUACUCUUCACUCAGACAGUCUGAGAAGCACGCACUACUUACAUGGCCUCCUCACAGAUGUGUCGGAGGAGAAAGUACAAACUCUGAUGACCACAGAUGAGGCCUCAUUACUCCUCUACCCACGCUCAAAUAUUUACUAAGUUCUUUGCUAGUCUCUGUGAGAAACACCAACUUUAAUCAGACUUAUUUG
rnacentral:lncRNA from 1 species